GAGAGGCAGUCUUUUAUUCUUUAUUUUAUAGGAAGGAAUUAAACAAGUUAAAGGAUUUGUUCAAAAAGAUUCACCCAGGGAUCCCUGGAUGGCUCAGCGGUUUAGCGCCUGCCUUUGGCCCAGGGCAUGAUCCUGGAGUCCCGGAAUCGAGUCCCAUAUCGGGCUCCCUGCAUGGAGCCUGCUUCUCCCUCUACCUGUGUCUCUGCCCUCUCUCUUCUCUCUCUCUCUCUCUGUCUCUGUCUCUCAUGAAGGAAUAAAUAGAAUCUUAAAAAAAAAAAAUACAAACAUAUCUGCCCAGUUAUUUUAAGAGGAGGAGUUGGAUUUGAACUAUUUUAUAUCUCUAAUACCUCUUACUCUUUAUAAAAUAAGUUGUUUAUAUAAAAAUUAGAAGGAGCAUAUACCCAAUUCCUUUAAAUUAUAUAUGAAGAAAUAUAUUUAAGAAAGAUAUAGCAAAAAAAAGAAGUCUAGGAAAUGCUGAGUAUAAUAAACUCUCAAAUUGAUUUUCAAAUAAUCAUGAAUUUUAUAAUGUCUGCUAUUACAUUUAUUCUUAAAAAUGCAUUUGUUGUUAUGCAGACUAUUUUCGAAAAUGCUAAAUUUCUCAGAUAACCUCCCUCUGCUUCUUUCUGUAAAAUAAUUUCUAGACUAAUGGUAGGAAAAUUGAAUGAAUUAUAUUUUGUUGCAGCAUUAGGGGAAAAGGAUGCUUCUAGACUCAUACCAGCUUUUGGGGGUGUUUAGCUAAAGUGCAUUAAUCUCUGAUGUGCAUAAUGUGCAUUAAUCCCUUAAUUGGUAAACAUGUGGCUAUCUCUAAAGCUGAUAUGAGCAACAGUUAAACUAUCAGCUGAAGUCACCAGCUCACAUUCUGCUAUUGAGAAAAAUUAGCCAACCUCAUUUCCUUUAUCUUCACUGGCUUAAGCCAACACGGUCUUUGCUACACACUCCAUCCAUGAUUGCACGGGACAUCAAAGUCUAUGUCCUCUGCCACAGAGUCAGAAUUUGCCAUGGUGAGCACCCUGGCAAGAACACUGGUUCUUUUUAGAAGACAAUCAGUAAUCAAUUAUUUCAAAAAGGAGAAGGAAACACUGUUUUCAUCUCCAUAUUGUCCCAGUAUCUAGCAGAGUUUGAAACUACAAAUAUUAGCUGAAGAAAUGAAUUGGAUGUGGAUCUGAGCUUAACAUCUAAGAGGAUACUAGCACUGAAGAAAAUAAAAUAUAAAAAAUGCGAGAUUUUGUCAAGUCCAAUUUGGCAAAGAAAGAAAAGAGUCAUGGAUUCUAGGGGCAGAGACUAAAAUGCUGUUCUGUGGGAUUUAUAUCACGGGGAGCUGAGGACGCAGAAAGGACAAAGAACUGUAAUAUCAAUAUAGGAAGAAAUAUUAGAAUUUAAAAUAAGUGUGAAAUAUAUGGAAACACAUUACUAUACUAUUAUCCUAUAGCAAUACCUAAUCAUCUUUUAUUUUCUGUUUUUACUUUCUAUUUUCUAUUUUAUUUGUGUGUGUUUGUCCUGUGUAUAUAUCCGUGUCUGUGUAUCUGCAUCUGUGAAUCCAUGCUAUAAUACAUAUUUUAAUUUACCUUUGGGAACUCCUUAAUAAAAUACUUUUGUAUUAUACCUUCCUCCAAGAUGUGUAAGAUAAAUUUGUUAACUCCACAGAUUUUAACACGGAAAUAUAUACUGUGAACGCUGACAAAGAAUACAUUGAGAAUUUGAAGAUUGAGGGGCACCUGAGUGGCUCAGUGGGUUGAGCGUCUGCCUUUAUUUCAGGUCGUGAUCCCAGGGUCCUGGGUAGGAGACCCGAGUCAGGCUCCCUGAUUAAUGGGGAAUCUGUUUUUCCCUUUCCUUCUGCCACUUCCCCCUGUUCCUGCUCUCUCCCUUUCCCUCUCCCUCUCUCUCUCUCUCUGUCUCUCCAAUAAAUAAAUAAGAUCUUUUAAAAUAAAGAAUUUGUAGAUUGUUCUCAUAUUUUCACCUUAUUAUUUUGGCAAAACUGAUAUACCCAUAGCACACAUAAAGAUAUUUUUAACAAUUAAUGAAUGUUAAACACCUUUAUAAAAACUGCAGCUCUGAAAGUGUCAUUGCUAUUAUAAUUAUUAUCAGUAUAUAAGAAAACUAAAAUCCCAUUUUAGUACUAAGUUUCAACAUGUCCAAAAUAGAUUUGGAAUUCAUAUUUUCUUUUUGAAUGUCAACCACAAUCUCUUUACAAUGUUAUUAUUCCACAUCUACUAUAACCUGUUUCAGAAUAUAUAUAUAUACAUAGAACAUGUACAUAGAAUAUGUACAUAUAUACUAUAUAAUAGAAUAUCCAAUUUCUGUAUAUUCUACAUAUAUGCAUUAUAAUAUAUUCAAUAUGUAUGUAUUAUAUAUAUGAAUUAUGUAUACAUAUAUUCUAUAUAUUUUGUGUGUAUAUAAUAGAUAUUCUAUUAUAUAGAAUAAAUACAGAAUAUAAUACAUAGAGAAUAUUUUAUUAUGUAGAAUCUAUACAUAUAUUAUAAAUAUACACAUAUUUAUAUACAUAUAAAUAUAUACUU
rnacentral:lncRNA from 1 species